AGACGCGAGGACCAUACAAUUGAGAUCUUCUCAUUUUUAGAACGUGAAAGUGAUCCCUGGGGGAAGUGAACUCAUCUCAGAUUUUCAGAAAAUUAUGCCUAAAAAACAGUGUCUCGUGAAAUAUAUGCCAUAGCAUUUUACAGUACAUUGACUGCAUACAUGUAUAAUAGGCCUAUGGGAACGUGAUCCCUGAGGGAAUUGAAUACCACAAUACGAGUCAUAAUACCCACAAAGCCUAGCGGUGAAACCCGGAAAUUAUUCCAAUCGUUUUUCCACCAUUAAUAAUGCCAUAGGGGAUUUUAGAACUGCUUCAUAUAAGGUCUGUGUUUUGGUUAGGUAAAAGAUCUGUGGUUAGCUAGAUGCUUUUGAAAAUUUGCUAAAUAACCACCAACUGUAGUUACGUGUACAAUGCACGUUACCUUCCUUACAAGUAAAAAGAAAACCAGCGUAGGCUAGCAUAAUGACUGUUGUGACCUUAUAUUAUUGACAAGUAAAUUGUGAGCCAGCCAGCUAGUUAUCGUUAGCUCACGGUUUGUUUAGUCGUGCUUUUUCAUGUGGUGACAUGGUAGCGAAAGUUAGCCAACCAGUGCCGAAAUAUAGCUAUCUAAAUAUCACCUGGUGGGCUAGUUAGUUAGUCACCUUGGUUGGCUACAUUCGCUAACGUUGCACCGUAUUUCAUCGUGGUGUAAUCUGACUUUCCCAAGCAGUGACAUGCUAGCGAAUGUGCCUAAUGUUAGCGAUUAGCACUAACUAGCUAUCGUUAAAUAUUCCUGCCCUGGUGGACUAGCUAACAUGUCACCACCUGUGGGGUCUGGGGAAAAGUCUGACUACACUAACAAUGAACUAACGCAACUAGUUCGCUAAAUAUCCCUGCACCGGUAGGCUAAAAUUAGUUAGUGUAGCACAUGGGGAUGUAUGAAACUUACAAAUCAGCCUUAAGUGUCCCGCUUGCGCCACCUCAUUAGCUAGCUUUUAAGGUUUUGCGAUCGGUUAAGACGCUUGAGGGCGGUCUCUUGUGUUUGAGGCAGAGGUCCCGAGUUCGCGGCAGGUAUGGACUGAAUCGGGAGGAAGUUGUACUCGCCAAGCAAGCUGAGUGACGUUCUUUACACAAGCAUGUCACCACGUGGAAAAGUGUGAUUACACAAACGGUGAACUAACAUUAACUAGCUGGCUAGCUCACAAAGUACUUGUUUCCACCUCAAUGUUUCCACAUACAAAACACAAACGGUUUUGCUCCACGAGUGCAUCUGUUGUACAUGACUAAUCAAAUGACCUGGAAGUCAUUUAUACAUGUCAGCAGGGAUGGAAAUUAAGCUAGCCCGAGGCUAGUAAUUUUCAGACUGGACUAGUAGACUAGUAAUGUGCUAGCAUGACACAGCAGUAAAAUGGUUAGUAGAAAAUGUGCCAAACUAGCCUGACAUAGCAGUGACAUUUUGCCUAUUCAAACAUCACAUGCCACAGAUUUAGGACCUGACUGUUACCCAGGCUAGUAGAAAUUGUGGUCUGCUGGCCAGUGCCCAAAAUCCUUAUGUUCCAUCCCUGCAUGUCAGUCCCUUUCAGAUGAUCUCAGUUUAUCACUGUUGGUCCUCCUCGGUGACCUCACGGCUGAGGGUUUUAACUUUUCUCUUGAGAAUUAGAAUCAGAAUUACAGCCGUACAGUUAAUCGCAAUAUUUCACCUCUUCGGGCAAAUAGUACCCUAGACUGUCCUGAUCAGUGACAACACUCAGGUCAGCAGCUGCCAUUUUCCAGCUCAUCCGCCAUGGCAGAAGAGGAAGAUCCAGACUGUUGAUUGGGGAAACAAGAACAAACAAUGAGGCAUGAGGAUCGGGUGUUGAGGGAUCACUUGUCACGUUGUCAAAUGAGUGCAUCUCUCAGACCAUUCGGUGCAUGGACAUCCUGUGCCAGUGUGAUCUGAACGCGAGGACUACAACACCUCAAGCCUGUGAACAGACAGGUCAGUAACUCAUCAAAUUUGAUACAAUAUUGUGCAAAACAUUUAAUUUGUAGAUGCUUUUCCCCAUGUUUUAGACAUAAUGCUUGACAUGUGGGACAUCAGGCUUACCCCACUUUGAAACAGUGAAUGAUCAACGCCACCCUCAGCAAGGAGAUCUGCUGGAAGUGAUGUACUCUCCCUCUCUCUCACUCUGGGGGUACAGACAGGGAUGAUUGGGACCUACAGCAAGCUUCCCUGAAAUCCGGUACUGACAGGAGGUCCACACAACGAAGAAGCAGGUGUCCCUUCCAGUGAUGUGGAGAUGACCUUGGACCUAGUGCCAGUAAGGAUGGUCUUGACGGAGGCGGUAAGACCCUCCUGCCUUGAUAUAGAAAUCCUUCGACUUCACUGCCUCUUCAAUUUAUUUAUUUUAUUUUUUAUUUAACUAGACAAGUCAGUUAAGAAGAAGUUCUUAUUUACUGUGACACAAAGCCCUGACUCCUGCACAUCAAUACCUGUAGCCAUUUUGGAUGCCUUGAUGCUUUCCUCUUCUUUAUCUGUGCCUCACUUUACAGACUACACCCUAUCCAACAACUGUGAUCUGAGGACUCUUUUUUAGCAGCAAUGGAGUAACACACUUGGCCCUAACCACUGCUCCAGAAUUGCUGACCAUUAACCUCCCUCUCCUCAUGGUGUGCCAGUUGCGGUUGGUGCGCUGUCCAACUGUUGCCUCCUGUAUAGCCUCCUGCUGCUCCCUCAACAGUGCCAUGUCAGAAUGCCUGCAUGCCCCAGGUGCCCUUGUUUUUAACAAUUUCUGGUACAGACAGGGAGGAUAGCGGUUGCUCUGGCUCAGGUUCAAGGAGACAUGGCAUUCCACUGAACCUGCCCCGGAGACGGUUCCUUAGCCACUGAAGAUCCUCCUCUGUGGACUCUCGGGACAAAGGGUUGUAGUCUUCGGCCGGGUACAGGUCCUCCGCUGACUGCACCUGGUUGGGCACGGCUGGCUUCCUCCACUCGCAUUCCACAUCCGCACAGCUUAUAUUGUGAACCGUCAAAAUAGGCUGCAUGGCUACACUUAUGGAAAUGCAUCCGUGGAGCUCAUGUGGUAGAGAGAAUCCUCUGGUCACCUAUAGAGACCUACCAAGAGGAAGGAUGUUGAGUGCCACAUGCCUUUCAAUGCAUUAUUUUGAACACCUUGAAAUGCAUUUGUUGUAAGAAAUGUUGCGGUAUAAUUAAAAUUUGAUUUGAUUUAUUACAUUA